CAACGAGUCGCAAGCUCGCGAGAGUAAGCUAAUCUCUUAAAGCCGUUCUCAGUUCGGACUGUAGGCUGCAACUCGCCUACACGAAGUCGGAAUCGCUAGUAAUCGCGGAUCAGCAUGCCGCGGUGAAUACGUUCCCGGGCCUUGUACACACCGCCCGUCACACCAUGGGAGUUUGUAACGCCCAAAGUCGGUGGCCUAACCUUUAUGGAGGGAGCCGCCUAAGGCGGGACAGAUGACUGGGGUGAAGUCGUAACAAGGUAGC
rnacentral:rRNA from 1 species